GAUGAACGCUGGCGGCGUGCCUAAUACAAGCAAGUCGAGCGAACGGACGAGAAGCUUGCUUCUCUGAUGUUAGCGGCGGACGGGUGAGUAACACGUGGAUAACCUACCUAUAAGACUGGGAUAACUUCGGGAAACCGUAGCUAAUACCGGAUAAUAUUUUGAACCGCAUGGUUCAAAAGUGAAAGACGGUCUUGCUGUCACUUAUAGAUGGAUCCGCGCUGCAUUAGCUAGUUGGUAAGGUAACGGCUUACCAAGGCAACGAUGCAUAGCCGACCUGAGAGGGUGAUCGGCCACACUGGAACUGAGACACGGUCCAGACUCCUACGGGAGGCAGCAGUAGGGAAUCUUCCGCAAUGGGCGAAAGCCUGACGGAGCAACGCCGCGUGAGUGAUGAAGGUCUUCGGAUCGUAAAACUCUGUUAUUAGGGAAGAACAUAUGUGUAAGUAACUGUGCACAUCUUGACGGUACCUAAUCAGAAAGCCACGGCUAACUACGUG
rnacentral:rRNA from 1 species